rnacentral:rRNA from 1 species
GCAUAUCAAUAAGCGGAGGAAAAGAAACCAACAGGGAUUGCCCUUAGUAACGGCGAAGUGAAGCGGCAACAGCUCAAAUUUGAAAUCUGGCUCUUUUAGGGUCCGAAGUUGUAAUUUGCAGAGGGCGCUUUGGCUUUGGCAGCGGUCCAAGUUCCUUGGAACAGGACGUCACAGAGGGUGAGAAUCCCGUACGUGGUCGCUAGCUAUUGCCGUGUAAAGCCCCUUCGACGAGUCGAGUUGUUUGGGAAUGCAGCUCUAAAUGGGAGGUAAAUUUCUUCUAAAGCUAAAUAUUGGCCAGAGACCGAUAGCGCACAAGUAGAGUGAUCGAAAGAUGAAAAGCACUUUGGAAAGAGAGUCAAACAGCACGUGAAAUUGUUGAAAGGGAAGCGCUUGCAGCCAGACUUGCUUGCAGUUGCUCAUCCGGGCUUUUGCCCGGUGCACUCUUCUGUAGGCAGGCCAGCAUCAGUUUGGGCGGUGGGAUAAAGGUCUCUGUCACGUACCUCUCUUCGGGGAGGCCUUAUAGGGGAGACGACAUACCACCAGCCUAGACUGAGGUCCGCGCAUCUGCUAGGAUGCUGGCGUAAUGGCUGUAAGCGGCCCGUCUUGAAACACGGACCAAGGAGUCUAACAUCUAUGCGAGUGUUUGGGUGUCAAGCCCGAGCGCGUAAUGAAAGUGAACGGAGGUGGGAACCCGCAAGGGUGCACCAUCGACCGAUCCUGAAGUUUUCGGAAGGAUUUGAGUAAGAGCAUGGCUGUUGGGACCCGAAAGAUGGUGAACUAUGCUUGAAUAGGGUGAAGCCAGAGGAAACUCUGGUGGAGGCUCGCAGCGGUUCUGACGUGCAAAUCGAUCGUCAAAUUUGGGCAUAGGGGCGAAAGACUAAUCGAACUAUCUAGUAGCUGGUCCUGC